rnacentral:misc_RNA from 1 species
GAACACCUCAACUCUCAUGGUUCGCCAUGAUGAGCUUGGACUUUGGGGGCUUUGCUGGCCUAUGGUCAGCUCCUCUCAAACAAAUCAGCCUGCCAGUGUUUGGUGGCAUCACAGGUGUGAUAACUAUCUACGCUUGUGGUUGCCCACCAGGUAACCUUCAGCAAUGGAGGUUUGCUGGAGCUCAUAAAUGUCUUUCCUCAGCGAAGACAGCUUUUUGAAC